CCCUUAGAUGUUCUGGGCCGCACACGCGCUACACUGGCAGGUUCAUCGAGCUUCAUGCCCUGAUCUGAGAAGAACGGGAAAUCUUUGAACACCUGCCGUGCUUGGGAUAGAUGUUUGCAAUUAUUCAUCUUCAACGAGGAUUGCCUUGUAAGCGCACGUCAUCAGCGUGCAUUGAAUACGACCCUGCAUUCUGUACACACCGCCCGUCGCUCCUACCGAUUGAAGUUUUCGGUGAAUUUACUGGAGAUCCCUUUUGAAGGUGGUUCGCCACUGGAAGAAGUAUUCAAAAGUAAAUGAAUCGAAUGCUUUAGAGGAAGGAGAAGUCGUAACA
rnacentral:rRNA from 1 species